rnacentral:tRNA from 1 species
GGAGAUAUAGCUCUGUGGUUGAGCAUUUGUCUCACACACAUAGGGUCCUGGGUUCAAUUCUCACCAUUGCCA